UGAUGGUAUUUUCAAGUGUUAAAACAAGUCCUAAUAAUUGUUAUUGUUUGAAGCCAAUAUUUACAUUUCUAAAGCCUCCUAGAUCAUAUAGAUAUAGAACAAGCUUUUUAACCUACCCCUUCCUCAAUUUAUCAUGUUUGGAGCCCCACCUAAAAUAUAACUAGCCUACAAUACAGAUAACACAUAUGUGAGACACAAAUAUGUUUUAUUAUUAAAAAUUGAAAAUACUUGGAUGGACCGUAAAUAUCCAAAAUAUAUAAAUUCAAAUAGCCAAAGAAGCAGGCAAGAUCGAAUCUAACUAAUAUUUUUUAUUUUAAAUUAGUUUUUAGCUCACUCAAAAAAUUGGGGCUCACCCCACUGUUUAGGAAGCACUGAUAUAGAAAUACUUUUUUUCACUUGAGACUUGGAAAUCCCAAGUUUGUACUGUUAGGGAAGAACGUAAAAUAAUCCAAAGGUAUCGCAUUCAAAUUCUUACCCUAUUCAUAUCCUUUUUUUUUCUUAUUUUCUUAAAUUCAUAUUUUUCACAGCCUAAAGCUGGGGGGUCCAUUUUUUAACAUGGAGUCAAUAUUGUAAAUUAGCCCCCUUUAAAACCUCUUUUCCCCCUUACUCUUUAUCACUAAACCACGAUUUUUUUGCAGCCCACAGUUGGAAGUCUAUUUUCGAUCUCGAGAGUCAGAGUUGAUUGUAAAUUGGCCCCAUUUACAACCUCCUUUUAACCCCACUCUGUAUCAGUUAUUAUAGAAUUGCUUUCAUAUAGUGUCCAGUCAAUUUUUAGACAUUGUGCUCUUUUUCAUUUCAAAAUAUUAUAACAGUAUUUCAUUAUGCUUUUUUUUAAUGUGUGAAGAUUUAUUGCAAUAAAUUCAUCAUAUGCAAAAUA